rnacentral:lncRNA from 1 species
GAGGGGCGGGACGCAGCAAAUUUAGCACGUGGAGGGAACGCUAAGGCCGGUUGCCUAGGUCACAGCGCAGCGUUGUCUCAGCCCCGAGGAAAGUGGGCGGGGCCGGGUCGCGGACACCCCGCCCCCGUCAAAGGCGUGGCCUGGGAUUGGCUCGCUGCGGCCGGGGGCACCUCAAAGGCCCGGACGCCUGAGCCCUGGCCGGGGUAAUCGCACUGGCUCGGCGUAGGGAGAGAUGCCUCUGAUCCCGGGGUCCCCUGCGACCACACAUUCCCCGAUUAUUCGUACAGGCUGCGGUGCGAGCCUGGAGGUCUGGACCCAGGUCGAGUAAAUUCGAGAAACUUCAGCCCUGGGCCCGCACUGGUCUAAGCCCCUGAUAGAAGAGACUGGACUCAACAGUUCUUCCUAACUGUGAAACAGCCUUGAUAAUACGUGUGAAGCUUCCUUGUAAAUGUACACUUUAAGCGAUCUGGGCGGCAGUUCCGGGCCACCUGCCCCUGCAGAUGCUUAGCGUGUGACCCCUGGGGUAGCCCACCUCCUUCUCUGACCACUACCUUACACUCUGCCUGGAUCCAUGUAAUUGAAGGAAGCACACUAGUUCCCUUGCUCACCUGCUCACUUGCUCCAGCUGCCACUUCAUUUCUUGGAUACUAUGCAUGGAAUUGGGAUAAAGAAUGGAAGGACAGACAGGGAAGAACAGAGUGGGGCAAUUCUGUGAAGGGAAUAGUGUGAGAAAACUGACAUUAAUAACCGAGCACCUGCCAGAGUCUGAUUUGAACACAAGGCGCUGUGAUUCCAGGGCUCCGAUCUUUUCCUCUCCACACUGCACCUCUGCUUUUGGAAACUUUUUCUGGGAAUUCCAAACCAAAAGUUUCAAAAACCCAUGAUGUCCCACGUGGCUGGCUCGUUAGUUCCCAGUUGAAGAGGCUGUGCAAAAUCACCUAAUUCCUGCAGCAGGAUAAAAAUCAAUAAUGAAUGGUGCUGUCCCAGAAUGAACACCAGCCUUGCUUAAAGAAAGGGAUCGCGUGACCUUAAAAAGAAGCGAGUUUGCAGACAUCCAAAGAAAGUCACUGGAUAUAUGUUUUAGGGAUAAAAAUAAA